rnacentral:rRNA from 1 species
GAUGAACGCUGGCGGCGUGCCUAAUACAUGCAAGUCGAGCGAACGGACGAGAAGCUUGCUUCUCUGAUGUUAGCGGCGGACGGGUGAGUAACACGUGGAUAACCUACCUAUAAGACUGGGAUAACUUCGGGAAACCGGAGCUAAUACCGGAUAAUAUUUUGAACCGCAUGGUUCAAAAGUGAAAGACGGUCUUGCUGUCACUUAUAGAUGGAUCCGCGCUGCAUUAGCUAGUUGGUAAGGUAACGGCUUACCAAGGCAACGAUGCAUAGCCGACCUGAGAGGGUGAUCGGCCACACUGGAACUGAGACACGGUCCAGACUCCUACGGGAGGCAGCAGUAGGGAAUCUUCCGCAAUGGGCGAAAGCCUGACGGAGAAACGCAGCGUGAGUGAUGAAGGUCUUCGGAUCGUAAAACUCUGUUAUUAGGGAAGAACAUAUGUGUAAGUAACUGUGCACAUCUUGACGGUACCUAAUCAGAAAGCCACGGCUAACUACGUG